rnacentral:sRNA from 1 species
UUUCUCUAAGUUUUGUCCCAAACAAAAAAUUUCAGAAACUUAUCAUAUAAUGGAUCAUGGUAACAUGCCACCAUCAUCACCAUCAUCAAUGGUAAAUCAUACCAAUUCCAACAUGAUCAUGAUGCAUAUGACUUUCUUCUGGGGAAAGAACACGGAGAUACUCUUCUCCGGCUGGCCCGGGACAAGUCUCGGCAUGUACGUUCUAUGUCUCAUCGUCGUCUUCCUCCUUGCUGUUAUCGUCGAGUGGCUUGCCCAUUCUUCGAUCCUUCGUGGACGUGGCUCCACUAGCCGCGCCAAGGGGCUCGUUCAGACCGCAGUCUACACACUCAAGACAGGCCUUGCUUAUCUCGUGAUGCUCGCCGUUAUGUCCUUUAACGGUGGAGUUUUCAUUGUCGCUAUCGCCGGAUUCGCCGUGGGUUUCAUGCUCUUCGGAAGCACUGCUUUCAAGAACCCCUCUGAUGACG